GACGAACGCUGGCGGCGUGCUUAACACAUGCAAGUCGAACGGAAAGGCCCUGCUUUUGUGGGGUGCUCGAGUGGCGAACGGGUGAGUAACACGUGAGUAACCUGCCCUUGACUUUGGGAUAACUUCAGGAAACUGGGGCUAAUAACGGAUAGGAGCUCCUGCUGCAUGGUGGGGGUUGGAAAGUUUCGGCGGUUGGGGAUGGACUCGCGGGUUAUCAGCUUGUUGGUGGGGUAGUGGCUUACCAAGGCUUUGAAGGGUAGCCGGCCUGAGAGGGUGACCGGCCACAUUGGGACUGAGAUACGGCCCAGACUCCUACGGUAGGCAGCAGUGGGGAAUAUUGCACAAUGGGCGGAAGCCUGAUGCAGCAACGCCGCGUGCGGGAUGACGGCUUUCGUGGUGUAAACCGCUUUCGCCUGUGACGAAGCGUGAGUGACGGUAAUGGGUAAAGAAGCACCGGCUAACUACGUG
rnacentral:rRNA from 1 species